UACAGAGGUCUCAAGCGUUGUUCGGAUUCAUUGGGCGUAAAGGGUGCGUAGGCGGUCGGGUAAGUCGGAUGUGAAAUCUCAGGGCUCAACCCUGAAACUGCAUUCGAUACUGCCGUGCUUGAGGACUGGAGAGGAGACUGGAAUUUACGGUGUAGCGGUGAAAUGCGUAGAUAUCGUAAGGAAGACCAGUGGCGAAGGCGGGUCUCUGGACAGUUCCUGACGCUGAGGCACGAAGGUCAGGGGAGCAAACGGG
rnacentral:rRNA from 1 species